rnacentral:rRNA from 1 species
UAUAGCAAUAGCUACUUGCAUCAUCUUAGGAUGAUGCAAAAUCGACUAUGUCGAAUAAAAUUCUAGGUAGAAUUAUGAUAAUGACAUUGUCUGCCUAUGUGUCUUGACCAAAUUACGUGCCAGCAGUCGCGGUAAUACGUAGAAGACUAGUGUUAUUCAUGUUUAAUCGGUUUAAAGGGUACCUAGACGGUAAAUCAAGCUUUCCAAGAAAUAAAGUUAAAGGACUAAUUUACUAGAGUUACUUAUGAGGGGGCAUUAAAGUACUGCUGGUGUAGAGAUGAAAUUCUGUCAUACCUAGUAUCAAUAGAAAAAAAGACGGCACGGGUAUAGGCGAAGGCAUCUCCUUAUGUGAUAACUGACGUUGAGGGACGAAGGCUUUGUAUAGCGAACAGGAUUAGUUACCCCAGUAGUCUAAGCAGAAAAUGAUGAAUGUCAUAGAUUAGAGGUAAGUUUAUUCUAUAAAUGAAAGUGUAAGCAUUCCACCUCAUGAGUAAUUUGGCAACAUUGGAACUGAAAUCAUUAGACCGUAUCUGAAACCAGUAGUGAAGUAUGUUGUUUAAUUUGAUUAUCCGCAAAAAACCUUACCACAAUUUGAAUAUUUAUAUUUUUUUUUAUUGUUUUCUUUAUAAUUUUCUUCUAAGAACAAAGUUAAUAAUGAGGCAAUAAGAUAUAUUUACAAGCGUUGCACGGCUGUCUACAGUUAAUGUCGUGAGACUUUGGUUAGUUCCAUUAAAUUAACGUAAACCCUUACUUUAUUUUUAUAUAGAGUAGUUCUCCGCUAUAUUGGAUAUGAU